rnacentral:rRNA from 1 species
AAACCAUUCUUCCCAAAACUACUAAUAUAUUAUGAAAAAAACUUUUAUAAAUCUCCAGUAAUAUAAAUAAACAAAUCACCCUCCACAAACCGCAAGGAUAAACUAAUAAAUUAACUAGAAGAACCUAUAAACCAGGCUCCCUCUUGUAUCAUGGAGAAGCAACAAAACUUGGAAAACCCCAUAUCCCGAAAGAUCAUGAGCUACUAUGCUUCAACAAGAGAUGUAUCAAAAUCUCUAUAGAAAUGCAUAAUAGAAGCGAAAAACCUUCCAUAUGAUCUGAUAGCUGGUUUUUCUUUAAAAGCAUCAAAGUGCCUCACCAUAUACUAAACAAAACUACUUAAUAUGGAUGAUAUAUCACCAAGGACAAGCCUGGUGAUUAAUAGAAACAAAAUAAACCUUAUAGCAUAAAGUAGGCCCUAAAGCAG